AAGGCAUGGAGAACUCCAAGGAGUUUGCUGACAAGUUGUUCGGGAUAUGUCGAGGCAGAGGAACAUUGAGCCGGAGAUUACUGAUCACAUCUUGGACUAAGCUAUGUUCAGUUUAAGUCAAUCUAACAUACUGAUGAAAAUUUUCCUUUGGGUGUCUCACAUUAACAGGUGGAACAUGAACAUUGAUGGGAUGCUCACAGAAGAUGAGGUCAAGAAGGUGGCUACGCAAAUGAUCAAAAAGAGAAGACUACCGCUGGGCCUUUUGAUCGACCACGUGAUUCAAAAAGCUCUUUAGUGCAGUUUGCAACAA